rnacentral:tRNA from 1 species
AAAUUUAGGAUAAAUAAAACCAAGGGCCUUCAAAGCCCCAAACAGAGGAUCACCCCUCUAUUUCUG